rnacentral:rRNA from 1 species
GAUGAACGCUGGCGGCGUGCCUAAUACAUGCAAGUCGAGCGAACAGACGAGGAGCUUGCUCCUCUGACGUUAGCGGCGGACGGGUGAGUAACACGUGGAUAACCUACCUAUAAGACUGGGAUAACUUCGGGAAACCGGAGCUAAUACCGGAUAAUAUAUUGAACCGCAUGGUUCAAUAGUGAAAGACGGUUUUGCUGUCACUUAUAGAUGGAUCCGCGCCGCAUUAGCUAGUUGGUAAGGUAACGGCUUACCAAGGCGACGAUGCGUAGCCGACCUGAGAGGGGGAUCGGCCACACGGGAACGGAGACACGGUCCCGACUCCUACGGGAGGCAGCAGUAGGGAAUCGUCCGCAAUGGGCGAAAGCCUGACGGAGCAACGCCGCGUGAGUGAUGAAGGUCUUCGGAGCGUAAAACUCUGUUAUUAGGGAAGAACAAAUGUGUAAGUAACUAUGCACGUCUUGACGGUACCUAAUCAGAAAGCCACGGCUAACUACGUG